GUUGCCAUGACUAUGAAAGGUACUGAGAGUGGGGAGUGGAUGUGUGAAAACCAGAGAUGGAGACAGGCUGCUGUGAAAUUCCCAGGCCAUUUCAGCAGUUUUCUCCUCCAAACAAUCUCUCCAUUACUUUUUUCCCCCCAUUUUUUUUCUUCUUUCCCUCAGUUUUACUUCUGGUAUAUGUGGGGUAUCUGUGUUGUAUUUUUCAGGGGACUCAGACCUGGAUGCUGUAACUGAAGCCUGCCUGCCCUACCACCCAAACUGCAAGAGGCCUGUCUCAGUGUCUUCCGGCACCUGAUUGAGGUGGACCCUGAUGCCUUCUGGUUGACUCUGAAUGAGCUGUACUGUCCGUCCCUGCUCCUACACCCCACCCCACCCUGACCUGCAGCCUGUGGAGCUGAGUGGGUAGGGCCUUCACAGGCAACGUCCUGAAACACUUGGAGGACAUUGGCUUACCUCUGGACACACAGCCAGCAGGGAUCCAGAUCCUGUGAUCUGCACUGAUGAACAGUACCCCAUUCAUCCACCCGACUGUCCCCAGGCAGAGGAAGGAACACUACACUGACGACGGCCACUGGAGAGCACAGCAUGUCCUAGUCUUCCCCUGCCUCUUUUCAGGGACUGUGCCUUGCAGACAUCAUCCUAUUGUUUAACAGUGACUUUGAAACACCAAAAUGUUAAGAUGAUUCUGUGCAAGUGUUGGGUAAGGGUGUACAUAUUCCAAUGUGCUCCCAAGGGAUGGACUAAAGGCCAGUAUUUUGAAUGGUAAAGUAGUAAUAAUAGUCCUCUUUUUAUUGUUUUUUAUUAUAAAAGAUUUUUAAAAAAUA